rnacentral:rRNA from 1 species
AACGAACGCUGGCGGCAUGCCUAACACAUGCAAGUCGAACGAGACCUUCGGGUCUAGUGGCGCACGGGUGCGUAACGCGUGGGAACCUGCCCUUAGGUUCGGAAUAACUCCCCGAAAGGGGUGCUAAUACCGGAUAAUGUCUUCGGACCAAAGAUUUAUCGCCUUUGGAUGGGCCCGCGUUGGAUUAGCUAGUUGGUAGGGUAAAAGCCUACCAAGGCGACGAUCCAUAGCUGGUCUGAGAGGAUGAUCAGCCACACUGGGACUGAGACACGGCCCAGACUCCUACGGGUGGCAGCAGUGGGGAAUAUUGGACAAUGGGCGAAAGCCUGAUUCAGCAAUGCCGCGUGAGUGAUGAAGGCCUUAGGGUUGUAAAGCUCUUUUACCCGGGAUGAUAAUGACAGUACCGGGAGAAUAAGCUCCGGCUAACUCCGUG